rnacentral:pre_miRNA from 1 species
UGGACAGAUUAUUGUAUUCGACUGUAUUCACGGCGUGAAACAGGGGAUUACAUUAUUUUUAAAUGGAAAGUGAAUCAAUUAACAUAAUAGACUCUU